GGGCGGGGAACCUGCAAGUCGAACGGACCUGUACUGAAACCUAGUGAUUUACAGGUUAGUGGCGGACGGGUGAGUACCCUUUGAGAAACCUGCCGUAUACUGGGGGAUAACACUUAGAACUAUGUGCUAAUACCGCAUAAGCGCACAGUCUCGCAUGAGACGGUGUGAAAAACUCCGGUGGUAUACGAUGGAUCCGCGUCUGAUUAGCUUGUUGGCGGGGUAACAGCCCACCAAGGCGACGAUCAGUAGCCGGCCUGAGAGGGUGAACGGCCACAUUGGGACUGAGACACGGCCCAAACUCCUACGGGAGGCAGCAGUGGGGAAUAUUGCACAAUGGGGGAAACCCUGAUGCAGCGACGCCGCGUGAGUGAAGAAGUGCCCCGGCACGUAAAGCUCUAUCAGCAGGGAAGAAAAUGACGGUACCUGACCAAGAAGCCCCGGCUAACUACGUGCCAGCAGCCGCGGUAAUACGUAGGGGGCAAGCGUUAUCCGGAUUUACUGGGUGUAAAGGGAGCGUAGACGGCAGCGCAAGUCUGGAGUGAAAUCCCGGGGCUCAACCCCGGAACUGCUUUGGAAACCGCGCGGCUCGAGUGCAUGAGGGGCAGGCGGAAUUCCUAGUGUACCGGUGAAAUGCGUAGAUAUUAGGAGGAACACCAGUGGCGAAAGCGGACUGCUGGAAUGUAACUGACGUUGAAGCUCGAAAGCGUGAGGAGCAUACAGGAUUACAUUCCCUGGUAUUCCUUCCCGUAAAACGAUGAUUACCCAGGUGCCAGUGAAUCCAUGUUCUCCUGGUGCCCGGC
rnacentral:rRNA from 1 species